AUUUGAGUGUGUCCAUGUAAAAUGAGCAGUCUAGCAGUUUUAAUACGUUACCAUCAAGUGUGAUUGUGUCCUGAAGACCUACCUCAUUUGAAGAGUGUGUGCAUCUACCUCAAUGAAGACUUAAAGGAAUAUGUGGACUGAAAGUGGCAGAAUCUCAUCGCACACACAACAGUGGAGAUCUUUAUCAUUUUGGCUGAGGAUGCUGGUCCUGGGGACAGACCUACAGAUGUUAGUGUAGAAGUUUUGAACCUGCUGAGUGUCACAUAUAGAUUGGAUGGACUUUUUGGGUUCAUGUACACUUAAAGGGUUUUUUUUAACCAGAACUGAAAACGUUUAAUUAUCCGUGUCGUACCAAACAUUGAUUUGUCUUCGAAGUACAAAUUAAGAUACUUAAGGUGAAAUCUGAGAGCUCUCAUUCUCUAUAGACAGCAAUGGU